ACAACUAUGCUCGGAUUCAUUCUUGGAGCAUGUGUCGUAAACCCAGGAUCAUCGUGCAACACACAGCUGCCACGCAUGGGACCUCGGUUGCUUCAUGCGAAAGCACUUUUUGGAAAAGUCUUUCGAGUAUGCAAGGAAGACCUUGUUGCAUAUGCCAAGACCAUUCCAUCCGACAAGUUGCGCAUAGUAAUGCAAAUGGGAUGCGCUCAGUAUAACAUAUGCAAAGCGUUGAUACGAACAGAAGCACAGCAG
rnacentral:lncRNA from 1 species